rnacentral:rRNA from 1 species
UACGUAGGGUGCAAGCGUUGCUCGGAAUCACUGGGCGUAAAGCGCACGUAGGCGGACUCUUAAGUCGGUGGUGAAAUCCUGGAGCUCAACUCCAGAACUGCCUUCGAUACUGGGAGUCUCGAGUCCGGGAGAGGUGAGUGGAACUGCGAGUGUAGAGGUGAAAUUCGUAGAUAUUCGCAAGAACACCAGUGGCGAAGGCGGCUCACUGGCCCGGUACUGACGCUGAGGUGCGAAAGCGUGGGGAGCAAACAGG